ACCCAGUGUGACCAGUACUUUGUGAGAGUGGGAAUGAAAAGCUGAACUGAUCAGUGAUUGGAUCAAACAGUCUCUUAAUUCACAUUCAGCCAAAUAAAGGCUCACCUUUGGUUAAACAUUCACCUCAGCCCUGUGUGUCUGCAUUUGGGUCCGCUCUCUCUCCCCAUGGUCUGCCAGCUCAGACCGUGAUCGAAGGCAUCUGCAGAGGAUAGUGACACAUGCACAGAGAGACACAGCAUGAAUCCUGAUUGGCCGGGAGAAGGUGACCGGGUUAGAUAGCUUGACAGCUUGGAUUUAUCUGGCAUGUGUUUGAAUCCUGCUCUGAAUCAGUCUCAUUAGGUAAUGUUCAAAUAUGAACAUAAUAUGA
ensembl:lncRNA